UACAGAGGGCUCAAGCGUUGUUCGGAAUCACUGGGCGUAAAGGGUGCGUAGGCCGCACGGUAAGUCAGAGGUGAAAUCCCGGAGCUCAACUUCGGAAUUGCCUCCGAUACUGCCGUGCUUGAGGACUGGAGAGGAGAUUGGAAUUCACAGUGGAGCAGUGAAAUGCGUAGAUAUUGUGAGGAACACUAGUGGCGAAGGCGAAUCUCUGGACAGUUCCUGACGCUGAGGCACGAAGGCCAGGGGAGCAAACGGG
rnacentral:rRNA from 1 species